rnacentral:rRNA from 1 species
AUAUCACUAAGCGGAGGAAAAGAAAUUAACGAAGAUUGCCUCAGUAGCGGCGAGCGAAGUGGCAAAAGCUCAAGUUAAAUCUGUGGUCUUCGACCAUCGAAUUGUAAUCUAAAGGGGUUAACAAAAGGGAAAGUUGAGGCAUAAGUUGCUUGGAACAGCACGCCAAAGAGGGUGAUAGCCCCGUAUUUGGCCUCCACUAACCUGAAUGUUGGCUCUCAAAGAGUCGGGUUGUUUGGGAUUGCAGCCCUAAAUGGGAGGUAAACUUCUUCUAAGGCUAAAUAUUGAUGGGAGACCGAUAGCGCACAAGUA